UUGGUUCUUGAUGACGAAGGCUUCGAUGCUAGAUGUUUUCGCUUCAUUCAGCACGCUGAAGUUGGUUCUUCUGUCUUCCCAACUGAUAUUUAAGCUGCUUCAAAGACAUCGUUGAUGGAACUUUUGAAGUGUUU